rnacentral:lncRNA from 1 species
CCCUGAGCAAACACACUUGUUACAAAGUGCUAUUUGUAACUGGCCCUUUAAAUAGCAAAUUUCCCUGCUUCCCUGGGUUGUGGAGAAGGCUAUUUGCUAGCCUCCUUCCACAUGACUAUGGCCCCUUGGAGAUUGUGAGAACUUAUGCACCUUUAUUGAGUGUGUAUGGCCCUUUAAGACAGCCAGUGGGCAUAUUGGGGCUUAUGGACUCUUUAUGGGACUGGUGCUGGCCCUUUAAACACCUUUUGGGACAUCAGGAAGAUUGGGACACUGCCCCUUUAAGACGGUGUCCUCUGUGUCCCCAGACCUGGUGCAAACCCUUUGUGCCUGCCUGGCUAUUUCCCACUUGGUUCAGUAAAUGGGGCUUACUGAACCAAGUACCACACAGGCAG